GCGUCUGUCGUAUAAUGGUAUUACCCCAGCCUUCCAAGCUGAUGACGUCAGUUCGAUUCUGAUCAGACGCU
rnacentral:tRNA from 1 species